GUCGACUAGCAUGCGAGUCGAUGUAGCAAUACAUGGCGUACUGCUCAGUAACACGUGGACAACCUACCCUCCGGACGGGUAUAAACCCGGGAAACUGGGUAUAAUCCCCGAUAGAUCUCGGUCGCUGGAAUGCCCCGAGAUCGAAAGCUCCGGCGCCAGAGGAUGGGUCUGCGGCCUAUCAGGUAGUAGUGGGUGUAGCGUACCUACUAGCCUACGACGGGUACGGGUUGUGAGAGCAAGAGCCCGGAGAUGGAUUCUGAGACACGAAUCCAGGCCCUACGGGGUGCAGCAGGCGCGAAAACUUUACAAUGCCGGCAACGGCGAUAAGGGGACCUCGAGUGCCAGGUUACAAAUCUGGCUGUCGUGAUGCCUAAAAAGCAUUGCAUAGC
rnacentral:rRNA from 1 species